ACCACUUAAUUAUAUCAGAAAACCAUGUAAAGACGCUAUAACAUAGGUGAAUGAAAGAAUUAGUCCAAUCUAAAAGCUAUCAUUCUUUGACUAUUUAACGGAAAUCCAUGAUAGUUAUAAUCAAUUUAUCUUAAUAUACUUGGCCACUAACAUGGGAAAAAACUUAAGCUUGACGCAGGUUAGUAUUCACAAAUGUCAAUCACCUACUUUUUACCAAACCAAA
rnacentral:misc_RNA from 1 species